rnacentral:rRNA from 1 species
AGUCGAGCGGUAACGACAUAAAGAUUCAGCUUGCUGAAUCCGGUGCUGACGAGCGGCGAACGGGUGAGUAACGCGUAGGAAUCUACCCAGUAGCGGGGGAUAGCCCGAGGAAACUCGGAUUAAUACCGCAUACGCCCUGAGGGGGAAAGGGGGCAGUUUACUGCUCUCACUAUUGGAUGAGCCUGCGUAAGAUUAGCUUGUUGGUAGGGUAAUGGCCUACCAAGGCGACGAUCUUUAGCUGGUCUGAGAGGGCGAUCAGCCACAUUGGGACUGAGACACGGCCCAGACAUCUACGGAUGGCAGCAGUUAAGAAUAUUGGACAAUGGGGGCAACCCUGAUCCAGGUAUACCGCGUGUGUGAAGAAGGCCCUAGGGUUGUAAAGCACUUUAAUCAGAGAAGAAGCAAUUUAAGUUAAUACCUUAUUUUGUUGACGUUACCUGAAGAAUAAGGACCGGCUAACUCCGUGCCAGCAGCCGCGGUAAUACGGAGGGUCCAAGCGUUAAUCGGAAUUACUGGGCGUAAAGCGCGCGUAGGCGGUUUAGCAAGUUGUAUGUGAAAGCCCUGGGCUCAACCUAGGAACUGCAUCCAAAACUACUAAGCUAGAGUACGAGAGAGGAGAGUAGAAUUUCUGGUGUAGCGGUGAAAUGCGUAGAUAUCAGAAGGAAUACCAAUGGCGAAGGCAGCUCUCUGGCUCGUCACUGACGCUGAGGUGCGAAAGCGUGGGUAGCAAACAGGAUUAGAUACCCUGGUAGUCCACGCCGUAAACGAUGACAACUAGCCGUUGGGCAGAUUUAACUGUUCAGUGGCACAGCUAACGCAUUAAGUUG